CCUCACCCUUAAUUUUUCCACAAGGUUAUACAACUAGAUUAUCGUCCAAGGCACGAAAUCACGAAGCAAUAACGCUAGAAUGAUCCCCACGACAUUGAGUUGAGUAGUUUGAAGAGUUUAUUGGGAGGUAUUAAGGACUCACCAUGGUUAAGGUCCCAUUUGAUAGGUUUACAUUCCUCCUAGUAGGUUAUUAGCUCAGCGGAGGUGUUGGUGCACUCCACUUGCUACGGAGUUUCCUAUUUGGUCAGUAUGCUUUGGAUAUGUAUUGAUUGGUAUGGCGUGGCUCU